GGAACAACUGAUAGGUAGCUGCAAUUAUGCGAGUCAAGGUCUGCCCUGGGGGUGGAUGAAGAGCUGCAGAGCCAAGGUGCCAGCUGGGUGAGGAGUUGUCAGGUUUUUGGGUUCUAAGGAAACCAGGUAAUGUUUGUGCUGUUGCUUCUAACCCCACGAAGAUCAGGCAAUUUCACAGAAUCAACCAUUCAGGUUGGAAGGGACCUUUAGAGACUCAACCCUCUGCUGUGAGCUGGGAUAUCAGUGCUAAGGGGGGUGCAACAUAUCUCCUCUCCCUUGGGUGUGAGGAGUCCCUGUGCUGGUCUGGCUGUUCAAGCUGCACCUCCACGCAUGGGGUGUUACAUCACAGUUUCCUAAUGUGGCUUUGGGUAAUUCUGUCAUUUGUAUAUUGGUUCCAGUAACUCCAGCGUAAAAAAGAGGUUUGUGUGGCUGUCCUGAGUCUGCAUCUCUAGGACAUGGUUUUUGCUUCAGAGACUUGGUCCUAGAUCUUCAUACCUUUAAGGUCAUGUUAGGAGAGCCACCAAAACCCUUUAGCCUGUUGUGAAAGAGCUGUUAGUGCAUCCCUACUGAAUCUCUGCUAUGUCUUGGUCAUGCUCAGCCCUGGAGAAGAUGUAAUUCCUGAAGACCAUCAUGGUCCAGCUCUAGGAUUUCUCCAUGCUCUUUUGUUGCAGCCAGGAAAGCAACUUGGACUAACAACACUGGAUUCUGUAGUGCUUGGUGCUGGUGACUGCAGCUCUUCCCCCUCCCCCUUUCCACAGCAGCUGCUCAUUUUCUUGCUACGAGAUUUCUACAAGCCAAAAGGAUGGUUUCAGGGAAGUUCACUGAUGCGAUCUGAGAGUUUGCAGGCUGCUUCCUUUGCAUCCCAACAUUACCAUCACCAUCCUGAUCCUUGACACUGUGUAACUCGGCUAGGAGAGGAUACACAGAGAUUUGGGAAAAGGAGAUAUUUGUAUCACAGUUCCUGAAAAUCCAUCCCUUGUUAGGAGCUCUGGCAGGACCAGCAACAGUUUAUUCUGUGAAACUGAUGCUGUAUUUCUCAUGCUCUCCCUGGCUGUGCUGCAUUCGCUCUGCCUUGAGCCUGUGGGUCCUUGAUGUGUCUCAGGCUCUUUCUGGGGAUAAACACCUGUAAUAAACCACGUCCCGACCUGUUGCACUUUUGUGGCUCCUUGAGCAGGCUGCAGCUCCCUGCAGCAUAUUGUGGCACCCUGCUGCUGCUUGACCAGAAAGAGAAAAUAAGUCAGUGUGCAAAGGAACGGAGCUGGUUUGGGGAAUGGAAGGGUUAUUUGGGGGCUAUUUGAUGCCUUUGUUUGGCAUUGCCCCUCUGGCAGAUGUUUGUCUGCCUGCUCCCAACACCUCCAGCCCAGGAACGUCCCCAGCUCCUCCUCUCCCGUGUCUGAUCAACCAUGAGCUCCUUUCUCCCCCGAAUCUUCCCUGUUUUUUUCAAAGCAGCCCUUCACACACAACACGAGCCUGCUAUCUUCUCCUCCUCCAGACUAAACAAUCCCUCCUUCGACCUUCCCUUGCUCUCACUUUUUUUUCCUCCUUUUUUAUCUCUCUGCUGCCUCCCCAGACGUGUUACGCAACCUACGGCUUCUUAGAGAGGCACGAUCCUAUUGCAUCCCCACCUGUGCCGCUCUUGGAACAAAACCUGGGCCCUGCACCUCCUCAUAAGGUCCAUCACAACACUGGGAAGGCAUCAGAAGGAAGGCGGUGAGCUCCUUCUGCAAAGCCCAAAAUCGUGGGCAGGGGGAUGAGCUUCUGUGGGAGCUCUGCGUGAAGUAUU
ensembl:lncRNA